GAUGAACGCUGGCGGCGUGCCUAAUACAUGCAAGUCGAGCGAACAGACGAGGAGCUUGCUCCUCUGACGUUAGCGGCGGACGGGUGAGUAACACGUGGGUAACCUACCUAUAAGACUGGGAUAACUUCGGGAAACCGGAGCUAAUACCGGAUAAUAUUUUGAACCGCAUGGUUCGAUAGUGAAAGAUGGCUUUGCUGUCACUUAUAGAUGGAUCCGCGCCGCAUUAGCUAGUUGGUAAGGUAACGGCUUACCAAGGCAACGAUGCGUAGCCGACCUGAGAGGGUGAUCGGCCACACUGGAACUGAGACACGGUCCAGACUCCUACGGGAGGCAGCAGUAGGGAAUCUUCCGCAAUGGGCGAAAGCCUGACGGAGCAACGCCGCGUGAGUGAUGAAGGUCUUCGGAUCGUAAAACUCUGUUAUUAGGGAAGAAGAAACGUGUAAGUAACUAUGCACGUCUUGACGGUACCUAAUCAGAAAGCCACGGCUAACUACGUG
rnacentral:rRNA from 1 species